GUGGUUUUCAGAUUUCUGGGGCAGGAAAUAGAGGGGGGUCUUAGGAUCAGUUUCAUUUCUGGAAGAAGAGCUCCUGGAGGGAGUACAGAAAGGAAUGAGGGGAGGAGGGAAGGAAUGAACGAAGGAAGGGAGCAAGGGAGGGAAACCCUGAUUCUAAGUGUCAGGCACAACCCUAGAAGCACAUAGCCAUCAUAUUCAAGUCUUCAUCACCAUCAGCUGUAACCCAGUGAGUUAUCAAAGCUUAUUUCUAUGUUACAGAGAAGGAAAGAGGCUGGCAGAUCCAGAGUGGGAGCUUACAACCACAUCCUUGGGUAGGCUAGGUGGCUGGGUGGUGUAAGGAUUGGGAGUUUCCCCUGACCCACCAGUUUUGCUGAUGCCGAAAGCCCUCAAGCAUGGCACAAAGGCCUUCCCUUGACAAGCAGUGAGAAAGAUGGAAAGGUAAUUCCUCCUGGGACCAUCCUUGGUCCUGUCAAGGGGUAGAAUGACCACAGACCUUGUGCUGGGGAUAGGCCUUGCUCCGGGGGAUACUUGGUCCCUGAGGAUAUGGGUUCUCUCUUCUUCCCAACUGGGGCCCAGGAGUCCUGGCAGGAGCAAGAGAAGGGCAUCAGCUGCUUUAGGAGCCAAUAGGCAGGGCCUGAGAGGCUGGGGGAAAUGGUUGGGAAAAGGAAAAAGUGGUUUCUGUCUGAGGGAAGUUUCCAUCUAGCGGGGAAAGUGUGGUCCUUUAGGGGCUCCCAAUCCAAUCUGACAAGGGAGGCAGGAGCUCUGAACACAAGGAGUCCAAGAAGGAUAAAAGAAAGAAAGAAAGCACAGUCCAUGCAUUCCAGGGGCUCAGUGUCUGGAGAGAGAAAGACCUGUUUCUUCAACACUGGCCGUAGACUGCCCCACCCCUGACCAAGCAUCUCAGGAAUCAAAGCCACCAACCCCGCCCUGGACUGUGUCAAGAGCUGGGGUGAGACAGACAGCCCAGCUCUCUCCUAUGUGCCUGCCUGUCCUCCGAGCAUCCUCCUGCAGCCCUUUCUGUCAGCUGCCCGCUCUGUGGAGGCCUGCAGCUUUGGCCAGGCGCAGCGGCUCUGCUGGGAGGCUGGUUUGCACUCAGGGCUGCUCUGAUCGGGCCCACCUUUCCUUCCCCAGCAGGAGCCUUGGGAGCUUGGGAGACAUUCCAGGACUGGCUCUGACACGAAUUUGCUGUUCAGUGCGCCAGGCGAUCAGAGCUGACUCCUCUCCCUUUUCCCUUGGAGGUGUUGAUAGUAACAGCAGAGAGGAGCUGCCAAGUUGGCAGGAGAACAGAGCGACUGUGCACUGCGGAUUGCGGUGGGGGUGGGGGUGCAGCAAGCUGGCGGAGGGCUGGGCCGGAGCCACAGUUUGUUUACCCUGAGAUGGAAAGGGUCCCUGCAGUCUGGCAGCCAGCAUCUUGCCCAGGAGGGGAGAUUAGAGAGGAAGGCGGAGGCCCCGGGGGAGCCCUAGGGCAGUGGUGUGGGGUGAGGCAUCUGGGAGGUUCCCAGGUCUGGGUGCUGCCAGAGUCGGUGGGAGGGGCCUUCUGGCUGGGCCUGAAGCCACCAGGCAGCCUGGCCCCGAGAGGCAUGCCGGGCCUCAGAGGCAGGACAGAGAUCCACCUUUGUUCCUGCUGUCCAUGAAGCAGCUUUGGAGUUUCCAAACAGGAAUGGACCUGGGGUGGGGAGCAGGCGAGUUCUGUAGCUUCUUCCUCCACAGAGGACCUUAGAAGGCACCCAUGCUGUCAAUCAAAUAGACCUGGGACCUUGAGCAAGUCAUUCAACUUCUUUGAGCCUCAGAGACGAAUAUCUACUUCAGAGCUUUGUGUGAGGAUUCAACAAAGUAGUAACAGCAAAAACUUAUCUAUUGCUUACUACAAGGCAGACACUCUUCUAAGAGCUUUACAUACGUGAAGGCACUUAAUCUUCAAACGACUUUAUCAGAAAUGCAUACUCUGUCAGAUCCCAAGGGGCCCAUUUACAAUUGAUGACAAGAAGUCGGAGGGGUGAGUAUGGAGAGGAGACUCCAGAGGAGUGGGGAGUGACUCCCUUCCUCCUGCUGCUGAUCCUGUUUGGUGCCAAGCAAUAGUCAGAAAUCAGGAGUGGUGAGAAGCAAAUGGCCCGGGUGGAAAGGAGAGGGGGAGUUCACCAGGAGCAAGAGAAUGAAGCAUGGCUUGCCAAGUGAUGCCACGUCCGCACCUGGGAUCCAAACCGGCGAACCCCGGGGCGCCAAAGCAGAUUGUGCACACUUAACCGCUGUGCCACCAGGCCGGCCCCUGGACUGGCCACCUUUUGAGUGCUCAACAGCCGUAUGUGUUUAGUGGCUACCGUGUUGGAUUGUGUAGAUGAAGAGACUGCAUUUGAGAGGAACAAGAAUGGCAAAGCUGUUGCAGUUGACCUGGAAGAGUACAGCGGCCUGGGAAUAGUGACAAAAGGACAGAUUUCAGAGAUGUGAUUCCCAGGUUGUCAU
rnacentral:lncRNA from 1 species